GUGGGGAAUAUUGGGCAAUGGGGGAAACCCUGACCCAGCGACGCCGCGUGAGGGAAGACGGCCUUCGGGUUGUAAACCUCUUUUGUACGGGAAGAAGGAAGUGACGGUACUGUACGAAUAAGUCCCGGCUAACUACGUGCCAGCAGCCGCGGUAAUACGUAGGGGACGAGCGUUGUCCGGAAUUACUGGGCGUAAAGGGCGCGCAGGCUGUGCUGCAAGUCAGCUGUGAAACGUGUGGGCUUAACCCGGGCAUGCGGUUGAGACUGCGGUGCUGGAGUGCUGUAGAGGCAAGUGGAAUUCCCAGUGUAGCGGUGAAAUGCGUAGAUAUUGGGAAGAACACCGGUGGCGAAGGCGACUUGCUGGGCAGCAACUGACGCUGAGGCGCGAAAGCCAGGGGAGCAAACGGGAUUAGAUACCCGGGUAGUCC
rnacentral:rRNA from 1 species